AGCGAACGCUGGCGGCAGGCCUAACACAUGCAGGUCGAACGAAGCCUUCGGGCUUAGUGGCGGACGGGUGAGUAACACGUGGGAACGUACCUUUUGGUUCGGAACAACUCAGGGAAACUUGAGCUAAUACCGGAUGAGCCCUUAGGGGGAAAGAUUUAUCGCCGAAAGAGCGGCCCGCGUUAGAUUAGCUAGUUGGUGAGGUAAAGGCUCACCAAGGCAACGAUCUAUAGCUGGUCUGAGAGGAUGAUCAGCCACACUGGGACUGAGACACGGCCCAGACUCCUACGGGAGGCAGCAGUGGGGAAUCUUGCGCAAUGGGCGAAAGCCUGACGCAGCCAUGCCGCGUGAAUGAUGAAGGUCUUAGGAUUGUAAAAUUCUUUCACCAGGGACGAUAAUGACGGUACCUGGAGAAAAAGCCCCGGCUAACCUCGUGCCAGCCGCCGCCGUAAGAC
rnacentral:rRNA from 1 species